UAGGAAUAAAAACUGAUAUUC
rnacentral:piRNA from 1 species